AGCGGCGUAGCCUAGUGGAAAGAGCCUGGCCUGGGAUUCAGGGGACCUGGGUUCUAAUCCCAGCUCUGCCA
rnacentral:tRNA from 1 species